rnacentral:misc_RNA from 1 species
GGACUAACUAAAGACCUAUUGCAGUAAGGAGAAGAUGAGAAGAGGAGUAAGACGAGGAUGUGUAAGACUACGAGGAGCUGUUGUUGGAAUAGAUGAUGAAGAUGAUUCAACUUUCACUGUCACGGUCGACAACAAGACUUUCCAUUUCCAGGCGAAGGACGCCGAGGAGAGAGAGAAAUGGAUUCGAGCUUUAGAGGACACAGUUCUUAGACAUAAUCAGAUGAAAAGAAGAUCUGCGUCCAGUUCCCGCAGGGUUGGUGUUAAAAUGGAGGAUUUUGAACGGAAGCUGUCUGAAACAGAUGCUUACCUUCAGCUUCUUAUUGAUCAAAAUACAGUCUUGCAGACCAAGGCUGAUGCAUGUACGGAGGAGGAGAGUAAAGAGAAAUAUGUCUCCCUGUCAGAUCGUGUCAAUGAUAUGGUCGAGACAGUCAAGCAUGCCAUCGUCCUGCUUCAGAUAGCUAAGAACGCAUCUUGUCCUCCGGAGGGAAGCGAUGAUCUUGUGAUGGUUCAUUCUACUCCAGAGAUAGGUCAACAUGAAUCUUCUCAGUUCUAUACAAGUGCUGAGGAUGCAUUUUCUGAUCGUAUUGUGGAGGGUGUAGUGGAGGGUAGUGAGUGUAGAGAGAGACGUAGCCAAGAGAUUAAUCAGGUGUUAAGGUCUGCUGUGUCCCCGAGGUCGGGUAUGUCGACACUGAUGAAUAAUUCUAUACCUGCAGUCUCCUACUCAUCCUCAGACGACGAUGAAGAAGACUUUUUUGAUGCAGAGGACGACGAUAAUUUAUCCCCUAAAGAUGGCGGAGAAAAUAUCCGCGACGAUGUUGAAUCUAGAACAGAAUCCAGUCAGGACUUAGUGAACCCCGUGAGCCCCUUAACACCCUCGGAGGUUGACUGGGACGCAUUGUACGAGGAGGAUGAGGAGGAGGAUGAGGUUGAUAUGAAGUCUCAUGGAUCAGUUAUAACGCAUCUUUUAUCUCAGGUGAGGAUCGGGAUGGAUUUAACAAAGAUCGUUCUUCCAACCUUUAUCCUUGAGCGUCGAUCCUUGCUAGAGAUGUACGCAGACUUCUUCGCACACCCGGAUAUAUUCGUCGAGAUCGCAGAGAAGAAAACACCGGAGGAGAGGAUGGUUCAGGUUUUAAAAUGGUAUCUCUCUUCCUUCCACGCAAGCAGGAAAUCCUCCGUGGCCAAGAAACCUUACAAUCCUAUCAUCGGAGAGAUGUUCCGUUGUCAUUGGAACCUACCGGAGCCGGAGACGAAGCAACCAGGAGCUCAACCCGUUCCCGGAGUCCCUAUUCCCUGGUGUUCACAGAACGAUCUGGUCUUCAUUGCGGAGCAGGUGUCGCAUCAUCCUCCUGUGAGUGCCUUCUAUGUUGAGUGUGGAGCAAGAAAGAUAUCAUUUAAUGGGCAUAUUUACACAAAAUCAUCAUUUCUCGGGGUCUCAGUAGCAGUACAUAAUCUAGGAGAAGGACGGGUUUCCUUGCAGGAGAGCGGAGAGGAUUACGUUGUUACCUUCCCUUCAGGAUACGGGAGGGGUAUUCUAACCACUCCUUGGCUGGAACUAGGAGGGAAAUGUGAGAUAACUUGUCCACAGACAGGUUAUAGGGCUGAUAUAGAUUUUAAAGUAAAACAGUUCUGGAGCAAUGAGGUUAAUAAAAUCAGUGCUGAGGUGUAUGCUAAGGAUACGAAGAAGCCACUAGUCAAGGUUGAAGGAGAAUGGAACGGUAAGAUGACCGGUAAAUGGCAGAACGGGAAACAAGAAACAUUCCUGGAUGUAACACAGCUCCCGACCUGCAGGAAGAACGUCAAGCCAGUUGCGGACCAGGAGAAGUACGAAUCAAGACGUCUUUGGCGUGAAGUAACUGCUGGUCUCAAAUCUGGUGAUAUUGAGGCUGCUACGGAAGCUAAAUGUAGCCUCGAGCAUAGACAAAGGACAGAGGCUAAGCAGAGGAAGGAGGACGACGUGAAGUGGGAGAAUAGGAUGUUUAGUCCUGUCGGAGAGAAUUGGUAUUUCACACAGUCUCUAGGAAGCAGGAUAUAAUUGUCUUGUAGUUUCUAGAUAGCAACGUCUAUUCAAGGUUAUAUUUAAGACAUCAAAGUCGUUGAGAACUCUCGACUUUUCUGAGACUUACCCAUCGAACAAUCUCUUGGAAUUUAA